AGAUUUUGAAGGAUUUCCUACUUUGGAUAGAGCUGAAUCUUGGAGCUUGGGGUCCUCUUGUUUUGGCUGUAGCAUACAUUCCUUUGACAGUACUUGCAGUUCCCGCAUCAGUACUCACUCUUGGAGGUGGAUACCUAUUUGGGCUGCCUAUAGGUUUUAUUGCGGAUUCUAUUGGAGCUACAAUUGGUGCAACAGCAGCAUUUCUUGUUGGCAAAACGGUCUGUAUUGAAACCUUAGUGUUGUUUGACUUUUAUAUGUGGACUUUUAAAUGACAUGGCAGUUUUAUAGAUAGCUGGCCGGUCUCUUAUGAAAGGCUCCUUUUCUCUCUUGAUAGGGUCGAUUCCUUUUUUGUUGGGUGUUUUUUAAUAUGAUAUUUUUAUUUGGACAUGAUCCAUAUCGACAUUAUCAAGAAAUAGGACGUUUCGUGAGGUCCUUGAACUUUGAGCUUGAGACCUGUUUAUGGUAUUGUUUGAGCACUCUAAUUUGAAUAAAAUUCCCUUCCUUUUCUUAUUAGAAUAAGGAAACUUCUCCAUGUGAAGUAUAGUUGUGCCGAACUCUAUACUCUUCGGUGCUUAUUACCGUGCUAUGUGUGCUAUACCUGGUUUAUUUAUUUAUUUAUUUUAUUUUUGAGAAGGUGAUGAAUAUAUAUUGCUUACAAAAAUCCGCAAGGCAUGGGUCUAUUUGGGCAUCCCACAGGGUGGUACUGUUACCAUUAAACACAGCUCAUUAAUGCCUUUAGCAUAUACAAACAUGAGAGGCUACUGUAAAAAAAAAGAGAGGGUAGUUUGGGGGGAGCUAGAGCGAGAGAGAAGGG